GGAUAAAGUGCUGAUGGAGGAAAAUGCGUAAAAAAUGAGUGACCAAGGAGCAUACUGUGAUCCUCCUGGCUGUCCCGAGAGAGAGAGAGGAGCUGGAGGAAGAAGAGGAUGAAGAGGAUGAUCCAAGUCCCGGUUCCAAGUCCAGGUUCCAAGUGUGCGAAUCAACAGCUUCUCAAAACUGGUGCGAAUAACGACACCGGGAAGGUUGUUGUUGAUGCUCUCACUGCUGCAGCUGCUGCUUCCUCCUCCUCCUCCUCCUCCUCUUCUUCAUCUGCUGCUCUGCACCGCAUCCCCGGCGAUGAUGCUCCGCUCCUCGACGCCGUCCGUGACAGAAAUGCAGCAGCAAACGGGAUGUUUGUCAAUGAAACUAGUGAGGCUCAGUGGGGAAGGGAUCUUGAUGCAUGCAGCCGAGCCGUUCAUAAAACUGCUGCAGCCCUGCCCGCCCAGAGGAGGAAGAAGAACGAGGAGGAAAGGGGGUGGAGGAGGAGGAGGAGAAGGUGGUGGGGGUGUGUGUGGGGGGGGGGUGCAUGUGUGUACGUGUGAUGUGAGGGGGUCGGAUGGUGUUGGCGAUGUGAUGAGGAGCAGCUCUUCCUCACAUGGCACCUGUAGCCCCUGAACCCCACGUGGCAUGAUAUUUACAUGUUACACUGAUGUGUGAUAGGCAGGGAGAUGAUGGAGAGAGAUGGAGAGAGAGGAGAGGGGAGAGAGGGGGGGGUGUAAUAUAGGAGGAGGAGGAGUGAGAUGAGAGAGGAGAGAGGAGACAGGCAGGUGAAUUAAUGAGAGGAGGAAUAAUGGAAAAGGGGGGCAGAAGGGAGAAAAUGAGAUAUGGAGUGUGUGUGUGAGAGAGAGAGAGGAAUAACCUACAAAUGGAUUGGGGAAACGAGAUGAAUGAAAGAGAGGAGGAAAAAAACAAGGAGAGUAAAAGGCUGGAGAAAGCAGAUAUAUGAUGAGGCAUGAAGAAAUAAAGUACAAUAUGAGGAGUAAUGACA